ACACAGGUAGUCAAGAUGAGAAUUCUAAGGUGAGCGAGCGAACUCUCGUUAAGGAACUCGGCAAAAUGACCCCGUAACUUCGGGAGAAGGGGUGCUCUUUAGGGUUAACGCCCAGAAGAGCCGCAGUGAAUAGGCCCAAGCGACUGUUUAUCAAAAACACAGGUCUCUGCUAAACCGUAAGGUGAUGUAUAGGGGCUGACGCCUGCCCGGUGCUGGAAGGUUAAGAGGAGUGGUUAGCUUCUGCGAAGCUACGAAUCGAAGCCCCAGUAAACGGCGGCCGUAACUAUAACGGUCCUAAGGUAGCGAAAUUCCUUGUCGGGUAAGUUCCGACCCGCACGAAAGGCGUAACGAUUUGGGCACUGUCUCAACGAGAGACUCGGUGAAAUCAUAGUACCUGUGAAGAUGCAGGUUACCCGCGACAGGACGGAAAGACCCCGUGGAGCUUUACUGUAGCCUGAUAUUGAAAUUCGGCACAGCUUGUACAGGAUAGGUAGGAGCCUUUGAAACGUGAGCGCUAGCUUACGUGGAGGCGCUGGUGGGAUACUACCCUA
rnacentral:rRNA from 1 species